AUUGAACGCUGGCGGCAUGCCUUACACAUGCAAGUCGAACGGUAACAGGUCUUCGGAUGCUGACGAGUGGCGAACGGGUGAGUAAUACAUCGGAACGUGCCUAGUAGUGGGGGAUAACUACUCGAAAGAGUGGCUAAUACCGCAUGAGAUCUACGGAUGAAAGCAGGGGAUCGCAAGACCUUGUGCUACUAGAGCGGCCGAUGGCAGAUUAGGUAGUUGGUGGGAUAAAAGCUUACCAAGCCGACGAUCUGUAGCUGGUCUGAGAGGACGAUCAGCCACACUGGGACUGAGGCACGGCCCAGACUCCUACGGGAGGCAGCAGUGGGGAAUUUUGGACAAUGGGCGCAAGCCUGAUCCAGCAAUGCCGCGUGCAGGAUGGAGGCCUUCGGGUCGUAAACUGCUUUUGUACGGAACGAAAAGCCCUGGGUUAAUACCCUGGGGUCAUGACGGUACCGUAAGAAUAAGCACCGGCUAACUACGUGCCAGCCGCCGCGGUAACAC
rnacentral:rRNA from 1 species